CACCCUCAAUCCCCCUCACCGUCGCUUUCACCCUUAAUCCCCCUCACCCUCUCAACCUCGCUCUGAUACAACAAGGCCCAGCAUAUAAUUUGUAGAAUGAAGGAGAGAAACGAAGAAGGAAGAGAUUGGCAAACUAAUUGCAGACCCACUCAGGCAACGAUUAAAGCAGAGAGAAGACUCUAGUGCAUGUGACAUAGGAGCAACUGGAGUUCGAGAAAGCUAUCAAAGGCACAAAUCAAGUUCUGUUCAUUGCUUCUGGAGACGACGAUACGAUUAAGUGCAAUUUGGUGGGCAUAACUCUCCUCUCCAUUUUGUUGCAGCUAAAGGCCACAACAAGAUUAUUUCAUUGCUUUUGGAGAAUGGAAUUGAUGUAAACUCCAGAAAUUACUGUGGGCAGGUAUGAUACUUGUCUCUGUUUGA
rnacentral:lncRNA from 1 species